UACGUAGGGGGCAAGCGUUGUCCGGAUUCAUUGGGCGUAAAGAGCUCGUAGGCGGCUUGGCAAGUCGGGUGUGAAAACUUCAGGCUCAACCUGGAGCGGCCACUCGAUACUGCCAUGGCUAGAGUCCGGUAGGGGACCACGGAAUUCCUGGUGUAGCGGUGAAAUGCGUAGAUAUCAGGAGGAACACCGGUGGCGAAGGCGGGUCUCUGGGCCGAUACUGACGCUGAGGAGCGAAAGCGUGGGGAGCGAACAGG
rnacentral:rRNA from 1 species